ACUUUCAACAACGGAUCUCUUGGUUCCGGCAUCGAUGAAGAACGCAGCGAAAUGCGAUAACGUAAUGUGAAUUGCAGAAUUCAGUGAAUCAUCGAGUCUUUGAACGCACAUUGCGCCCCCUGGUAUUCCGGGGGGCAUGCCUGUCCGAGCGUCAUUG
rnacentral:rRNA from 1 species